UCGGACUAGAAGCGACCGGCGAACGGGUGCGUAACGCGUAUGCAAUCUACCUUGUACAGGGGGAUAGCUUUCGGAAACGAGAAUUAAUACCCCAUAGUAGUAGGAUAACGCAUGUUAUCCUACUUAAAGCUUCGGCGGUACAAGCAGAGCAUGCGUCCCAUUAGCUAGUUGGGGAGGUAACGGCUCCCCAAGGCGAUGAUGGGUAGGGGUUCUGAGAGGAAGAUCCCCCACACUGGCACUGAGACACGGGCCAGACUCCUACGGGAGGCAGCAGUAGGGAAUAUUGGUCAAUGGGCGCAAGCCUGAACCAGCCAUGCCGCGUGCAGGAAGAAGGCCAUUAAGGUUGUAAACUGCUUUUAUAGGAGAACAAAAGAUUUCAUUGGAGAUCCCUGAGUGUAUCCUAAGAAUAAGCACCGGCUAACUCCGUGCCAGCAGCCGCGGUAAUACGGAGGGUGCCAGCGUUGUCCGGAUUUAUUGGGUUUAAAGGGUGUGUAGGCUGCUAUUUAAGUCAGUGGUGAAAUGCUAGAGCUUAACUUUAGAACUGCCAUUGAAACUAACUAGCUUGAGUAAAGGAGAGGUAAGGAGAAUUUAUGGUGGAGUAGUGAAAUGCAUAGAUACCAUAAGGAAUACCCAUAGCGAAGGCACCUUACUGGCCUUUUACUGACGCUGAGACACGAAAGCGUGGGUAGCGAACAGGAUUAGAUACCCUGGUAGUCCACGCAGUAAACGAUGAUCACUAGAUGUACAGAUUUAAUUUGUGUAUCCCAGCGAAAGCGUUAAGUGAUCCACCUGAGAAGUACGCUCGCAAGAGUAAAACUCAAAG
rnacentral:rRNA from 1 species